rnacentral:tRNA from 1 species
GCCUGGCUAGCUCAGUUGGUAGAGCAUGGGACUCUUAAUCGCAGGAUUGUGGGUUUGUGUCCCACGUUGGGGG